AAUGUUUUAGAUAGUAUUUUAAACUGUAAAAAAAAAGUGUUUUGAAUAGUGUAAACAAACACAUUUUGUGAUCACAUAAAACCAUCCAAUUAAAUGAAUAUUGCUACUCAAAAUAUUUUCUUUUAUAAGCAUCUACUUAAUUUGUUUUAAAAAAUUUCGCAAAAAGCGAAAAAUGAUAACGCAACGAGAAAAGCCACUGCCCACUGGUGAGUACCACCGUAGCAGCUGGAAAGCAAUGAUGAAAGUUGCAUUGCACCUGCGAUGCGAGUCCGCUCCCUAUGAGGCACGUGCGGAUUCUGUUUAGCCGCACGUGCCUUGAGCAUUCAGUAAUUACAGCUAACCCGCCAAAGUCACUUACAGUAAGUAGAACCAUCGCUCAAGCUAACUCACAGUAAAAUCCAAACAAAAAUGGUGGAAAAAGAAGCCAUUGAAGAAGCUCAGAGCAAGCUCCAAUCAGAGUUCCUUCAAAUCCUGCGUAGUAGGCGACCCGCUCAAGUUACACUAACAGUCCAACUCGCGAAGCCAGUGGCGAAUCCUUUGUUUCAGGACUCUCCUCCAUCGAUCAAAGAGGUAUCAACAACACUCAUAGCAUUUUUUUUUUCAAUUUCUGCUUCAAUCUUGUAAUCUUGUAUGUACCACUUUAUAUAUGUAUCGCAUGGUGUAUGAUUAAUAUGCAACAUCUAAUAAAUUCUUAAAAAUGAUGAUGUCUUUUAGAAUUGGUAAUUUAUAAUAGAUUGCCUAUGGAUUAAAUUUCACGGUGGUACCCUCGGGGACAUCCGAUAUAUUUACAUGGUGAAGCAGGAAUGGUUUUUAUGUAAGAGCUAGAAGGGAAAUAGGAGCUAGAUGGGACAGGAUUAUUUUAGUCUCCAUCAAUAUCUGGGACAAAUUAAAAUUUUUUGUUAUAUGUUAUGUGAAGAUUAGUUGAGACUAUUGAUAUAUGAUGGUCUCAAAUCAUGUAAUAUUUUCUUGUAGCAAGGGUUGUCUUACAAACUAAAGUGCCAGAAUUAAGUCAUUA